GAGAUAACCUGGAGGUAAUCUGAGGUAUUCAGGAGGAUAAAUACAAAGCUAAGAUUUGAUAGAUUUAAAUUAUUCUCCUAAUUGGAAUGGCAGACUUAGUUCAGUGUAACAAUUGCUAUGCAUUUGUUUCACGUUCCACUUUUUGGAGGUUUGGUUGUUGUCUAAUCUGUAGACAGUUCUCUAUCUUGCGGCAGGAGAUUGUAUUUUUGAAGUCUGAGAUUUGUAAAUUAUCUGGUGAACAAACUCAGACUGGAACUGCUGCAAAGCCACUGCCGCAGAGACAAACUAGGAAAGGCAGAUGGAUUACUGUAGGAUCUGGUAGACUUAGAGUUGUGGAUAAAAGGCAUUUUGCACAGUCUGUUGCUCUUCAUAAUUAAUUUUCUGCACUUUCAGAGUGUAAUGGUGUUGUGGAGAGAGGCACUGAGGCUAGUGGUAUUGUGGAGAGAGGCACUGAGGCUAGUGGUAUUGUGGAGAGAGGCACUGAGGCUAGUGGUGUUGUGGAGAGAGGCACUG